CCCCGGACUCGAAACGUUGACUCCGCUUUCUCUCUGUCUGUCUCUGGACAGAUGCUGCCAGGCCUGAAGCACAAACAAGGUCCUCGGGGUCAAAUAUUUGAUGGACUAAUCCAAGGGUGACCGGCUGCUUCUCACAACCAGCAGAAAAGCAAGGGAUCCAGAUACAGUUUUCUCAAGGAGUCAAUGGAAUCAGAUAAUUACCAUUUAAAGCAGUGCAGAAAGAAAUGAAAAGCCAAAAUUGCCAAGUUUGUGAAGCCGGUCACUCUUUCUUUUUAACAAGAGUUGAACAGUGUUGAUGUUCAAAUAUUCUUUACUGCAUGAUAAAAUAAAAGUCCUUUAGCCUUCCUCCUUCC